GCUACCAUGCAGUCGAACGGGCGCAGCAAUGCGCUAGUGGCGGACGGGUGAGUAACGCGUGAGAAUCUGCCUCUAGGACGGGGAAAACAGUUGGAAACGACUGCUAACCCCCGAUGAGUCAACCUGUAAAAGGGAAGAUAAAAUAUUUAUAGCCUAGAGAUGAGCUCGCGUCUGAUUAGCUAGUUGGUGGGGUAAAAGCCUACCAAGGCGACGAUCAGUAGCUGGUCUGAGAGGAUGAUCAGCCACACUGGGACUGAGACACGGCCCAGACUCCUACGGGAGGCAGCAGUGGGGAAUUUUCCGCAAUGGGCGCAAGCCUGACGGAGCAAGACCGCGUGAGGGAGGAAGGUUCUUGGAUUGUAAACCUCUUUUCUCUGGGAAGAAAAAAAUGACGGUACCAGAGGAAUAAGCAUCGGCUAACUCCGUGCCAGCAGCCGCGGUAAGACGGAGGAUGCAAGCGUUAUCCGGAAUGAUUGGGCGUAAAGCGUCCGCAGGUGGUUUUUCAAGUCUGCUGUUAAAGACCGGGGCUUAACUCCGGGCAGGCAGUGGAAACUGAAAGACUAGAGUAUGGUAGGGGCAGAGGGAAUUCCUGGUGUAGCGGUGAAAUGCGUAGAGCUCAGGAAGAACAUCGGUGGCGAAGGCGCUCUGCUAGGCCAAAACUGACACUCAGGGACGAAAGCUAGGGGAGCGAAUGGGAUUAGAUACCCCAGUAGUCCUAGCUGUAAACGAUGGAUACUAGGUGUUGUCUGUAUCGACCCGGACAGUGCCGUAGCUAACGCGU
rnacentral:rRNA from 1 species